CCUACGGGUGGCUGCAGUGGGGAAUUUUGGACAAUGGGGGCAACCCUGAUCCAGCCAUGCCGCGUGCGGGAAGAAGGCCUUCGGGUUGUAAACCGCUUUCGGCCGGAACGAAAUCGCCGGGGAGAACAUCCCCGGUGGAUGACGGUACCGGAAGAAGAAGCACCGGCUAACUACGUGCCAGCAGCCGCGGUAAUACGUAGGGUGCGAGCGUUAAUCGAACUUACUCAGCGGAAAGCGUGAGACGGCGGUUAAAUCCCCGGGCUUAACCUGGGAACGGCGUUUGUGACUGGCGGGCUGGAGUGCGGAAGAGGGAGGUGGAAUUCCACGUGUAGCAGUGAAAUGCGUAGAGAUGUGGAGGAACACCGAUGGCGAAGGCAGCCUCCUGGUCUAGCACUGACGCUCAUGCACGAAAGCGUGGGGAGCAAACAGGAUUAGAUACCCCUGUAGUC
rnacentral:rRNA from 1 species